rnacentral:rRNA from 1 species
AAGACGACGAGGUAGAUAGGGCAGAGGUGGAAGUGCAGUAAUGCAUGGAGCUGACUGUUACUAAUAGGUCGAGGGCUUAACCAAG